rnacentral:rRNA from 1 species
GUACGCUGGCGGCACGCCUAACACAUGCAAGUCGAACGAAGUAGCAAUACUUAGUGGCAGACGGGUGAGUAACAUGUAGGUAUCUACCCUUUGGCCUGGAAUAACACGAGGAAACUUGUGCUAAUACCGGAUAAGUCUUUACGGAGAAAGCUUUAUGCACCAUUGGAUGAGCCUGCACUUGAUUAGUUUGUUGGUGGGGUAAUGGCCUACCAAGACUGUGAUCAAUAGCUGAUUUGAGAGGAUGAUCAGCCACAUUGGGACUGAGACACGGCCCAAACUCCUACGGGAGGCAGCAGUGGGGAAUCUUGCACAAUGGAGGAAACUCUGAUGCAGCGAUGCCGCGUGAGUGAAGAAGGCCUUUGGGUUGUAAAGCUCUUUCGUCGGGGAAGAAAAUGACUGUACCCGAAUAAGAAGGUCCGGCUA